rnacentral:rRNA from 1 species
UGGGGAAUAUUGCACAAUGGGCGAAAGCCUGAUGCAGCGACGCCGCGUGAACGAUGAAGUAUUUCGGUAUGUAAAGUUCUAUCAGCAGGGAAGAAAAAAAUGACGGUACCUGACUAAGAAGCACCGGCUAAAUACGUGCCAGCAGCCGCGGUAAUACGUAUGGUGCAAGCGUUAUCCGGAUUUACUGGGUGUAAAGGGAGCGUAGGCGGUUUUAUAAGUCUGAUGUGAAAGCCCGGGGCUCAACCCCGGUAUUGCAUUGGAAACUGUAGAACUAGAGUGUCGGAGGGGUAAGUGGAAUUCCUAGUGUAGCGGUGAAAUGCGUAGAUAUUAGGAGGAACACCAGUGGCGAAGGCGGCUUACUGGACGAUUACUGACGCUGAGGCUCGAAAGCGUGGGGAGCAAACAGG